rnacentral:snRNA from 1 species
GGGCGUGAGGGCCAUUUGACUACGACAUCUUGGUAUUUAUUAACAGAGUUGAGACUGUCAAUGUGGGUGGCUAAAAGGGCGCCACCUUCAUUCCUCACCAUUCCACAUGUGUCUCUCUAGGGCUGUACGCUCCAUCAAAAAGAGCAGUGUGUCUCUGUAGGAGAGGGUGCUCUUUGGGUAGUGACACACAAGUAGUGCUUUCUUGCCAGAAGCUCCCAAAAGCUCUCAAGAGGGACACAUGGGAAUAUGUCUGCUCAGGACUUAUAUAGGAGCCAUAAGUUUGGACUGU